rnacentral:rRNA from 1 species
CGCAGCCGCGGUAAUUCCAGCUCCAAUAGCGUAUAUUAAAGUUGUUGCAGUUAAAAAGCUCGUAGUUGAAUUUCGGGAUUGACACAUCGGUCGUGCCUUAAGGGGUAUGAACUGGUGUAGUCAAUUUCUCACCUUCUGGAGAACCGCGAUGUCCUUAAUUGGGUGCCGCGAGGAACCAGGACCUUUACUUUGAAAAAAUUAGAGUGUUUAAAGCAGGCAUUUUUGCUUGAAUACAUUAGCAUGGAAUAAUAAAAUAGGACGGCAUGAUUCUAUUUUGUUGGUUUCUAGGAUCACCGUAAUGAUUAAUAGGGAUAGUUGGGGGCAUUAGUAUUCAAUUGUCAGAGGUGAAAUUCUUGGAUUUAUUGAAGACUAACUACUGCGAAAGCAUUUGCCAAGGAUGUUUUCAUUAAUCAAGAACGAAAGUUAGGGGAUCGAAGACGAUCAGAUACCGUCGUAGUCUUAACCAUAAACUAUGCCGACUAGGAAUCAGACGAUGUUAAUUUUUUAAUGACUCGUUUGG